rnacentral:rRNA from 1 species
UACGUAGGGGGCAAGCGUUGUCCGGAUUUAUUGGGCGUAAAGAGCGUGUAGGCGGCCAUGUAGGUCCGUUGUGAAAACUCGAGGCUCAACCUCGAGACGCCGAUGGAAACCAUGUGGCUAGAGUCCGGAAGAGGAGAGUGGAAUUCCUGGUGUAGCGGUGAAAUGCGCAGAUAUCAGGAGGAACACCGGUGGCGAAGGCGGAUCUCUGGGCCGAUACUGACGCUGAGGAGCGAAAGCGUGGGGAGCGAACAGG